rnacentral:lncRNA from 1 species
GUGGUAGGCAGCCGGGGCUGUGGCGUCUCGCCUCGCGACCACCUGCGGCGGACGGGCGCUGGGCCGCAUAUGCAAUAGACUUACUCCUCGAUUUAUCUAUAUUUACUGACUGUUCCACAGUUAUACCAAGAAAUGUUUACACAGAUGAUGAUAAGCAUAUGUAGAGAUGCAACGUUUUCACAGACCAGAAUAACCAGCUCCAGGCUGCAGUUCUCUACACGAAGAUAAAGUUUGUUGGGAAACUCCUGACUGCGGCGACCUGAGCCCAGAGGAGCAGCCGGGGGCGGUGGGCAGAGCCGGGUGUGGACAAGCGGGUGGGUCCUGCACCUGGGUGGGGGAAGCGGCAGGCUCCAGGGUCAAGUUGAGGUUGUGCUAGCCCUGGCUUCCAGACCUCAGGCGGCCCACUCUGCCCUCGGCCUGUUUCCUCUCUUGUAAAGUGGGGAGUAAAAGACCAUCACAAGCCAGGGAUGAAGUGGCACAAACUGUGAUCUCAGCCACUCUGGAGGCUGGGUCGUAGGGGUGGAGGGCUCACUUGUGUCUCAGAGCUGGAGCUGUGGUGUGCGAGGCCCGCACCUGUAAAUGGCCACUGCACUCCGGCCUGGGCAACACUGAGACCCUGGCUCUGAAAAACAACAAAACUUAAAAGAUGAACACAGAUGAAGUAUGGGAGCCUGGUAUGUGGUAAGCACUCCACAGGUGUCAGCCGCCAGCCCGCAGUUCAGGACAGGUCAGGGGGAGACCUGCAGUCUGCGACAGGCUGCCGGCUUCCAUCACUGCCUGAUGGAAAACAAGCCUGUCUUUGGGGCCAACCAGCUAACAAGUGAGCCCUUCACCCCAUCUGAAGGCGAAGCACCCAAAGGGGCAACCAUGGACCACUAAAUAAAAAUCAAGACUCCUGGGACGCCUUCUCCGGACACAUUCUUAGUAAAGAGAUACGUGGAUGAGGACGUUGUGUGUAUUUCUGUGUAACAGGCCACCCCAAACCUCAGAGGGUGGAAACCUCUCUUCACUGCUCAUGACCCUGUGGGCCUGCAGCUUGAGCCAGUUCAACUGGGACAGCUUGCCUCGGCUCCAUGGGGUGUCUGCUGGACCCACUUAUGGGCAGGGGCCCCCCAGCAGAUCCGGGCCACGUGUCACCCACCCACCGCAGGCUGGUCAGGCCUCCCUCCCAUGGUGGCUGGGCUCCAUCGGCAGCAAGAGAAAGCAAAUCUCUAUGGUGCUUCCCUCCAUCUCCCCAGGAGAAGCAGGUGAGAUGGCCAGGGCCUGAGUGGAUGUGAGCGACUGUGCAGGGGACAGGCACGGGAAGCAUGGUUCAUCAGGACGGUCACUGCAACAGUCUUCCACAGGCCUUCGCUGAGAUGCAGAGCAUAGGAGAGCAGAUGGCGGCCAAGGCCGGGACCCUCUGCUGCUCCCACGGGCCUCUCAGGCAGUUCUGCAGGACCAGCCAGCAGCCUCUGAUUCUCCCUUCCUAUUCCAUGGCCUCAGAUGCCAUCCUUUCCACAGAGACAGUUUGUAUCGUGACACUCUCCCUGACUUGGAAGAAUGGCACUCAGAACAUUCCCCUUGGUGCUGAUGUCGGGGUGAAAGCAGUUUCCAGUCGCCUGGGGCCAGGACACGGCAUUCCCAGCUGUUGUGGAGCAUGAAGCACCAGGAUGCCCAUUUGGGUGCCUGUUGAGAUCAGGCUCUUUGAGAAGGAAUCCUGUGGUCGCCUGAGGAGGCCCGAAGAAAUUUCGAGGACAUCUCAGCCAUCCAUCCCCUGUUCACUGUGGAGGUCGAACACCAAGGUUCCUGGAGGGGGACCCUGGGUCUCCACAGAAGUGCUGGCAACCAUCUACUUCCCGGCCUUCCAUGCCUGCCCCACCUCCGUUCUGUUGUUUACCGUCUCCUUUGUGGGAAUUAUGGAAUAAACGAUCACUUUGGUGUCCUGGAAAAUAAACCUGAUGCUGGAGGGCUUGAGUGUAGGAAUCCCGCUGGCCUUCCUCUGUCUGCCCCAUGAGUUAGGCUUUGCAUAAGCAUGUGAGACAUCAACCGCUAUGAAAUGUGGUCUACACAGCACCAAAAAAUCCAUUUCACCACAUUCUCCCUUCAGUGCAGUUAAAUGGCAUGACCUUGUGACUGCCCCCCACGAGAAGAAUUAAAAAUUACACCGGCCCUGCCAAAGCCUACAGGACACAGUGGCACAAAAUGAUUUCCAUGAUCUUAGGAUAUAGACCCAGGCCGACUCGACAGAUUAAGUGGAUUUCAAACUGUGGUCUCAAGCCUUCUGGGAACUGCCAGAAAGGAGGGGAAGGUGCCGAGUGGCCCAGCUGCCCAGCCUGUUCACACACUGGGCUUUCCAAAAGGAGGAGAAGGCGCCAGCCUCAGAGUGGCCCAGCUGCCCAGCCUCUUCACACACUGGGCUUUCAGUUGAAGAGAGUGUUCAAAGCUUACACAUGUAAAUGCCACUGAUCUGUAAACCCCCUUCCUGUCAUGCCCAGGGACUGGCAGACUGUGGCUAGAAGGGUGGGACCAGAGGGGUGGGUCACGUGACCUGCGCACGGGUGUGCUGGCCUCCCUGGGCCUCGGUGGCCAGGACAGCCUCCCUUUCCCUUUCCAGCCACACAGGGCAAUCCGUGUGGAUUUCUGUCUCCCCAGUUACAGAGUGUGCUGCCAACCUGCUGUGCUGAGACUGGCCUGGUCUUGGUCCUGGUGUCCUAGGGCUGAUGACUGACCACAGCCUUUGUGCUUUUGAAGCCCAUUUGACUAUAGUCCUUGUGUACAACUGAAAAUGAAACUUUAAACAAC